rnacentral:rRNA from 1 species
AAAUGAAUUGACGGGGACCCACACAAGCGGUGGAGCAUCUGGUUUAAUUCGAUAGUAAACGAGAAACCUUACCAAGACUUGACAUCCCGGGAAGACUGCCGAAAGGCGGUUGUGCCGUAAGGAACCCGGUGACAGGUGCUGCAUGGUUGUCGUCAGCUCGUGCCUUGAGGUGUUCGGUUAAGUCCGUGAACGAGCGCAACCCUUGUCCUAAGUUGCAAUUUUCUUAGGAGACUGCCGGCUCUAAGUCGGAGGAAGGUAAGGAUGACGUCAAAUCAGCAUGGCCCUUAUGUCUUGGGCAACACAGGUGCUACAAUGGUCAGUACAAUGGGCUGCGAAGAAGUAAUUCUGAGCUAAUCCCAAAAGCUGACCCAAGUUCGGAUUGAGGGCUGCAACUCGCCCUCAUGAAGCUGGAAUCGCUAGUAACCGCGUAUCAGCCAUGGCGCGGUGAAUAUGUUCCUGGGUCUUGUACACACCGCCCGU